UAUUGCACAAUGGGGGCAACCCUGAUGCAGCGACGCCGCGUGAGCGAAGAAGUAUCUCAGUAUGUAAAGCUCUAUCAGCAGGGAAGAAGAUGACGGUACCUGACUAAGAAGCUCCGGCUAACUACGUGCCAGCAGCCGCGGUAAUACGAAGGGGGCAAGCGUUAUCCGGAUUUACUGGGUGUAAAGGGAGCGUAGACGGCGACGCAAGUCUGGAGUGAAAGCCCGGGGCCCAACCCCGGGACUGCUUUGGAAACUGUGCUGCUGGAGUGCAGGAGAGGUAGGUGGAAUUCCUAGUGUAGCGGUGAAAUGCGUAGAUAUUAGGAGGAACACCAGUGGCGAAGGCGGCUUACUGGACUGUAACUGACGUUGAGGCUCGAAAGCGUGGGGAGCAAACAGG
rnacentral:rRNA from 1 species